GACGAACGCUGGCGGCGUGCCUAAUACAUGCAAGUUGAGCGCUGAAGGUUGGUACUUGUACCAACUGGAUGAGCAGCGAACGGGUGAGUAACGCGUGGGGAAUCUGCCUUUGAGCGGGGGACAACAUUUGGAAACGAAUGCUAAUACCGCAUAAAAACUUUAAACACAAGGUUUAAGUUUGAAAGAUGCAAUUGCAUCACUCAAAGAUGAUCCCGCGUUGUAUUAGCUAGUUGGUGAGGUAAAGGCUCACCAAGGCGAUGAUACAUAGCCGACCUGAGAGGGUGAUCGGCCACAUUGGGACUGAGACACGGCCCAAACUCCUACGGGAGGCAGCAGUAGGGAAUCUUCGGCAAUAGACGAAAGUCUGACCGAGCAACGCCGCGUGAGUGGAGAAGGUUUUCGGAUCGUAAAACUCUGUUGGUAGAGAAGAACGUUGGUGAGAGUGGAAAGCUCAUCAAGUGACGGUAACUACCCAGAAAGGGACGGCUAACUACGUG
rnacentral:rRNA from 1 species